GAUGAAGAACGUAGCGAAAUGCGAUAAGUAAUGUGAAUUGCAGAAUUCAGUGAAUCAUCGAAUCUUUGAACGCACAUUGCGCCCGUCAGUAUUCUGGCGGGCAUGCCUGUUCGAGCGUCAUUACGCCCCUCAAGUCCCCUGUGGACUUGGUGUUGGGGAUCGGCGAGGCUGGUUUUCCAGCACAGCCGUCCCUUAAAUUAAUUGGCGGUCUCGCCGUGGCCCUCCUCUGCGCAGUAGUAAAACACUCGCAACAGGAGCCCGGCGCGGUCCACUGCCGUAAAACCCCCCAACUUUUUAUAGUUGACCUCGAAUCAGGUAGGACUACCCGCUGAACUUAAGCAUAUCAAAGCGGAGGA
rnacentral:misc_RNA from 1 species